AGGACAGCAGUCGCCACGGUAAUACGGAGGGUGCAAGCGUUAAUCGGAAUUACUGGGCGUAAAGCGCACGCAGGCGGUCUGACAAGUCAGAUGUGAAAUCCCCGGGCUUAACCUGGGAACUGCAUUUGAAACUGUCAGGCUGGAGUCUUGUAGAGGGGGGUAGAAUUCCAGGUGUAGCGGUGAAAUGCGUAGAGAUCUGGAGGAAUACCGGUGGCGAAGGCGGCCCCCUGGACAAAGACUGACGCUCAGGUGCGAAAGCGUGGGGAGCAAACAGGAUUAGAUACCCCUGUAGUCCCUGUCUCUUAUAC
rnacentral:rRNA from 1 species